rnacentral:piRNA from 1 species
AACAAAAACCACAAACAUAGAUGUCUU